GAUGAAGAACGCAGCGAAAUGCGAUAAGUAAUGCGAAUUGCAGAAUUCAGUGAAUCAUCGAAUCUUUGAACGCACAUUGCACCCCCCAGUACUCUGGGAGGCACGCCUGUCUGAGCGUCAUUUCAACCCUCGCGCCCGGCCUCUGUCCCGAGCGCGGUGUUGGGGAUCGGCCACCCGUCAGCGGGUGGCCGGCCCCGAAAUCCAGUGGCGCCCACGCCGUAGCCUCCUCCGCGUAGUAGUCACACACCUCGCGGGCGGAGAGCGGCGCGGCCCUGCCGUAAAACACCCACCAUUUUUCACAAGGUUGACCUCAGAUCAGGUGGGAAUACCCGCUGAACUUAAGCAUAUCAAUAAGCGGAGGA
rnacentral:misc_RNA from 1 species